UUGGGGAAAAACAAAAUGUCGGUACCCAAGGAAUCAGCAUCGGCUAUUCCGCCCCCGCAGCCGGGGUAAUAGGGGGGAUGCCAGCGUUUUCCGGAAUUAGGGGGUAAAAGGGUCCGCAGGUGGCACUUCAUGUUUGCUGAAAAAUACUGGGGUUUAACCCGGGGGAGCCAGGGGAAAGGGAAGCGUUUGAGGGUUGUAGGGGUAAAGGGAAUUCCUGGUGUAGGGGUGAAAUGCGUAGAGAUCAG
rnacentral:rRNA from 1 species